CGCCAUAAACGUGGUGAUUUGGCCGGUCGGCUUGCGGCCACGUAAAACAAUCCGCUAAAAGGCCGAAGCACAGCGAAA
rnacentral:ncRNA from 2 species